rnacentral:rRNA from 2 species
ACGCUGGCGGCGUGCCUAAUACAUGCAAGUCGAACGAGUUCUGAUUAUUGAAAGGUGCUUGCAUCUUGAUUUAAUUUUGAACGAGUGGCGGACGGGUGAGUAACACGUGGGUAACCUGCCCUUAAGUGGGGGAUAACAUUUGGAAACAGAUGCUAAUACCGCAUAAAUCCAAGAACCGCAUGGUUCUUGGCUGAAAGAUGGCGUAAGCUAUCGCUUUUGGAUGGACCCGCGGCGUAUUAGCUAGUUGGUGAGGUAACGGCUCACCAAGGCAAUGAUACGUAGCCGAACUGAGAGGUUGAUCGGCCACAUUGGGACUGAGACACGGCCCAAACUCCUACGGGAGGCAGCAGUAGGGAAUCUUCCACAAUGGACGCAAGUCUGAUGGAGCAACGCCGCGUGAGUGAAGAAGGCUUUCGGGUCGUAAAACUCUGUUGUUGGAGAAGAAUGGUCGGCAGAGUAACUGUUGUCGGCGUGACGGUAUCCAACCAGAAAGCCACGGCUAACUACGUGCCAGCAGCCGCGGUAAUACGUAGGUGGCAAGCGUUAUCCGGAUUUAUUGGGCGUAAAGCGAGCGCAGGCGGUUUUUUAAGUCUGAUGUGAAAGCCCUCGGCUUAACCGAGGAAGUGCAUCGGAAACUGGGAAACUUGAGUGCAGAAGAGGACAGUGGAACUCCAUGUGUAGCGGUGAAAUGCGUAGAUAUAUGGAAGAACACCAGUGGCGAAGGCGGCUGUCUGGUCUGUAACUGACGCUGAGGCUCGAAAGCAUGGGUAGCGAACAGGAUUAGAUACCCUGGUAGUCCAUGCCGUAAACGAUGAAUGCUAGGUGUUGGAGGGUUUCCGCCCUUCAGUGCCGCAGCUAACGCAUUAAGCAUUCCGCCUGGGGAGUACGACCGCAAGGUUGAAACUCAAAGGAAUUGACGGGGGCCCGCACAAGCGGUGGAGCAUGUGGUUUAAUUCGAAGCAACGCGAAGAACCUUACCAGGUCUUGACAUCUUUUGAUCACCUGAGAGAUCAGGUUUCCCCUUCGGGGGCAAAAUGACAGGUGGUGCAUGGUUGUCGUCAGCUCGUGUCGUGAGAUGUUGGGUUAAGUCCCGCAACGAGCGCAACCCUUAUGACUAGUUGCCAGCAUUUAGUUGGGCACUCUAGUAAGACUGCCGGUGACAAACCGGAGGAAGGUGGGGAUGACGUCAAAUCAUCAUGCCCCUUAUGACCUGGGCUACACACGUGCUACAAUGGAUGGUACAACGAGUUGCGAGACCGCGAGGUCAAGCUAAUCUCUUAAAGCCAUUCUCAGUUCGGACUGUAGGCUGCAACUCGCCUACACGAAGUCGGAAUCGCUAGUAAUCGCGGAUCAGACGCCGCG